GAUGAACGCUGGCGGCGUGCUUAACACAUGCAAGUCGAACGGAAAGGCCCAAGCUUGCUUGGGUACUCGAGUGGCGAACGUGUGAGUAACACGUGGGUGAUCUGCCCUGCACUUCGGGAUAAGCCUGGGAAACUGGGUCUAAUACCGGAUAGGACGAUGGUUUGGAUGCCAUUGUGGAAAGUUUUUUCGGUGUGGGAUGAGCUCGCGGCCUAUCAGCUUGUUGGUGGGGUAAUGGCCUACCAAGGCGUCGACGGGUAGCCGGCCUGAGAGGGUGUGCGGCCACAUUGGGACUGAGAUAAGGCCCAGGAUACUACGGGAGGAAGCAGUGGGGAAUAUUGCACAAUGGGCGAAAGCCUGAUGCAGCGACGCCGCGUGGGGGAUGACGGCCUUCGGGUUGUAAACUCCUUUCGCUAGGGACGAAGCGUUUUUGUGACGGUACCUGGAGAAGAAGCACCGGCUCACUACGUG
rnacentral:rRNA from 1 species